AUUGAACGCUGGCGGCAUGCCUAACACAUGCAAGUCGAACGGGAGGCUUCGGCCUCUAGUGGCGGACGGGUGAGGAGCGCGUAGGAAUCGGCCCACGAGUGGGGGACAACCUGGGGAAACUCAGGCUAAUACCGCAUACGCUCGCGAGAGGAAAGCGGGGGACCUGCGGGCCUCGCCCUGGUGGACGAGCCUACGUCCGAUUAGCGAGUUGGUGGGGUAAACGCCUACCAAGGCGACGAUCGGUAGCGGGUCUGAGAGGACGACCCGCCACACUGGGACUGAGACACGGCCCAGACUCCUACGGGAGGCAGCAGUGGGGAAUAUUGGACAAUGGGCGCAAGCCUGAUCCAGCAAUGCCGCGUGGGUGAAGACGGCCUGCGGGUUGUAAAGCCCUUUGGGCGGGGAGGAACGGUCGGGUGCCAAUACCACCCGGCACUGACGUUACCCGCAGAAUAAGCACCGGCUAACUCCGUGCCAGCCGCCGCGGUAAUAC
rnacentral:rRNA from 1 species